rnacentral:rRNA from 1 species
GAUGAACGCCGGCGGUGUGCCUAAUACAUGCAAGUCGUACGCACUGGCCCCAACUGAUUGAUGGUGCUUGCACCUGAUUGACGAUGGAUCACCAGUGAGUGGCGGACGGGUGAGUAACACGUAGGUAACCUGCCCCGGAGCGGGGGAUAACAUUUGGAAACAGAUGCUAAUACCGCAUAACAACAAAAGUCACAUGGCUUUUGUUUGAAAGAUGGCUUUGGCUAUCACUCUGGGAUGGACCUGCGGUGCAUUAGCUAGUUGGUAAGGCAACGGCUUACCAAGGCGAUGAUGCAUAGCCGAGUUGAGAGACUGAUCGGCCACAAUGGAACUGAGACACGGUCCAUACUCCUACGGGAGGCAGCAGUAGGGAAUCUUCCACAAUGGGCGCAAGCCUGAUGGAGCAACACCGCGUGAGUGAAGAAGGGUUUCGGCUCGUAAAGCUCUGUUGUUGGAGAAGAACGUGCGUGAGAGUAACUGCUCACGCAGUGACGGUAUCCAACCAAAAAU